GAUGAACGCUGGCGGCGUGCCUAAUACAUGCAAGUCGAGCGAACAGACGAGGAGCUUGCUCCUCUGACGUUAGCGGCGGACGGGUGAGUAACACGUGGAUAACCUACCUAUAAGACUGGGAUAACUUCGGGAAACCGGAGCUAAUACCGGAUAAUAUAUUGAACCGCAUGGUUCAAUAGUGAAAGACGGUUUUGCUGUCACUUAUAGAUGGAUCCGCGCCGCAUUAGCUAGUUGGUAAGGUAACGGCUUACCAAGGCGACGAUGCGAAGCCGACCUGAGAGGGUGAUCGGCCACACUGGAACUGAGACACGGUCCAGACUCCUACGGGAGGCAGCAGUAGGGAAUCUUCCGCAAUGGGCGAAAGCCUGACGGAGCAACGCCGCGUGAGUGAUGAAGGUCUUCGGAUCGUAAAACUCUGUUAUUAGGGAAGAACAAAUGUGUAAGUAACUAUGCACGUCUUGACGGUACCUAAUCAGAAAGCCACGGCUAACUACGU
rnacentral:rRNA from 1 species